AUCAUUACUUACAUCAAUAUCUUUCAUACAUCGCACUCCAGUUGACCGUGGUCAAUUUAAAAGGGUGAGGCCACAAUACUGCGCUGAGACGUCGCACAGCAAUAAAGUAAACAUUGCGAUUCAUUACAUUCGACGCGACAUAAGAUGAUACAUCCACACGUUUUUUCACUAUACACAUGGUGUUUGCGCCCAGUUUGUAAGAUACUCGCAAAAUAUUCGCGAGCUGCUCGCAAACGCGUAGGAAUUGCAUUAGGCGCGUUCUAUAGAUGUGGAAGCACCAUGACGAAAAGUCGCUUAGGGUCAGACUAUACCAGUGCAAAAUCGAACCGCAUCGAAACGUAGAUCCAAUUAAUAAAAACAAAUACUACCCUAUCUACAGCGCGUGAAUAUGUGCGAAUGCGUGCAUUUUUUAUUUAAAUCUCUGGAAUAAUGCGUGCUUUAUAAAGUGACAAGUAUAAUCUGACCUAUACUUUUACUUUAGUACCACUUAUCCAUUCUGCAAUGCGACAACACAUUCGAACUACGAUGUGUUGUGCGUUAACGCAGAUGUUUGCGGUGUAUCGUCGCAAUGCUGUAUUGUGGCUUCGCUAUUAUUCUCCCAAUAAACUUCAAAUAUCGCACCCUAGUUGGCGGUGGUCAGCCUGAACCACUCCUAGUCUAUUUGCGUUGUGAGUCACUGACACUAAACGAUUCAACUGAUUGCUAGGUCACUGUCACUGGCAAUCGUAUUGAAGCUAUUUUCUUGAGUGGAUUGUAGUGUAGGGACCGGUAGCAAUUUAUUGUUCACUUAUAUUGGCGACGACGGAUCUGUGUAGGGAAAAUGGUGCUAUGUGUCGUCACAUGGCUUUAGCUUAAAUAUAGGUUUAACAUACUAUUGGAUAUUGUUCGGUUUUUUUAAACAUCUCAGUAAUCACACUCAGUUAGCACGGAAAAGCUAUAUUUGUGAGGAGACUGGAAUAACGCCAUAUUAUAUGAAUCCCAUAAUCAGGGAUCGUUAUGUGUAGAUUGUGUAUCAUUCAAAAGUAUAUUCUUGAGUAGACUCCCGAUAAUAAUUAGUGCUAAAUCUAUUCAUUGCAGAGUUCAUUUUCGGUAGUAAAAUAAAAUUUUAAACUACGGAACGUUUUGUUGUACGUGUUAAGGCAUUGGCGGAUUGUGAAUACAUCGUAUGUAGCUAAAUAUCCGUUAAACAGCAAUAUGCUAAUAACAGGUAUUGAUGUUAACUUUUGAUAAAUUGAAUUUACUUAAUUAGCGAGUAGUUUAAGCUGCGGCCUGCGUAAUACCGAUUAUAAGCAAAGGAAAUAAUUUGGCAAACCGGUUGUAGAGAGUACGAAUGCCUUAUGCACCUUAUACCCGGGCAAUAAAGUUAAGGAUCUAUUAAAAAUUAGCUCCUAAAUUGCGGUAAUCAGAUAUUUAUAGUAUCAAGUCAGUUCAAACGUUGAUGGAAAUAAAUAAAAACCCGUGUCCUAGAUUUUACUUAGCGAUUGAGCAACCAUUUCGCGUACCUACAUCUGUGUAGCUUUAAUUUUAUGGUAAUUGACAACACGUCUAUAAGGAAAACUGUUAGUAAAACUGCACGAUAGACUGACGUUAUAUCUGGACCUAAAUACAUAUACUUUAAAUGGUAGGUGAAUGUUGAAAGUCAAAAUAUUCCAAAUACCGGGCAAGUCGGACUCGCGCACAAAGCGUUCCGUUCCAUUCUCUAUAAAAAUCGCAAAAAUAUCACGUUCUUUGUAUGGAACCGUAAAUAUUUAUUUUAUUUUGUUCUUCAAAUUUUAAAUGCUUAGCUAAUGCUUUUAAAAACAAAAUACAGCUAGGUGACAAACGGACGAACUGAUAUACUGACGGUAAAAUCAGUAAGGCAGUAUUAGUUUCCCAUUUUACAGCUAGGCAACGGUAACCCAAAAAGAAUAUUAAUAUUUCUUGUCCAAUGAGGAUAUUUUUGAUACGUACAUAACAGAAAUUUUAGGUAUUUAUGUUCAUCCUGAUGUAAGUAAUAAAUCGGUUUGUAUUUAAAUACAAAACGUUAAGCUUAUUAGUUUUAAUACCGAGCGGAGUAAGUAAAUUGUCGUUACUAAGGCCUUGCUCUUCACGACACAUCAUUUGACACAUGCAUGUAUUCGUCAAAUGACUGUAGGCAGAUUUACCGCUUCGUGGGCAGUUUUCAACCAUGAUGCAAGCAUUUGUCAUUUGUAGGUCGCCUGUUGUCGUUAACAAAUGAAUGCAAACAUUUGUUAAAUAAAAAUGGACAGUAGGCCUUAUUUUCUUAUAUCUUAACCACCUUUUUAUGACAUAGUUAACUGUUUAGUUAGAUCUGUGGCUUCCAUGUAUUAUUAUAAUAUCAAUGGUGAGACAUAUUAAAUUAACUAAAAAUCAGACAACUAAAAGAUGUAGUCUGUGUCACGUCUUCGCGUCUGCGCUCAUGGCCAAGUCUUUCUGUGACUCGAAACUAAUAGAGCUUUUUCUCCAAAUAGUUACGUGAGUAAACCGUGAUUUUGGCUUUAAUAUAUUUGUUCCAAACUACUACUUCUACUACUAAUUUAUCUAAUCAAUAACCUUUUUACGAUAGCUACAAAUCCAUAUAAAUGAAAUGUUUAAAGGUAAAAAUAGACAUUUAUACGCUUUGACGACCUCUUUAAAAUGAUAGGAAACAUCUGGAAUUCAUAACACAUAGUAUAUAAUAUACAUAAACUCUUGGAGAUAAUUUUAAACUAAAAUGAAUAGGCAAAAUAAAAAAUUCACACCGUUUUUCGAAUAUGACACAGACGAGAGAGUAUGAUACUUAUUAAAGAAAAUGUAUACGGAUAAGAAAUACAGUUCGUUUUUCUAUUAAGUAAGCAUACUGCUGUAUAGUGUAUGUUCUUAAUAUUAUAAAACCGAGUCUUGUUAGCUAUAAACUAACGAAAACGCUACUUUUUCACCCUAUCGUAUCUAUCUGCCGAACUACGAGUAGAAAAGGCUAGAAAUAAUGUAGGUGCGUGAAGCAAUAAAUGCGGUCCUAUUCUUAUCUCUACUAAGCGACCGCUCUCCGAAGAUAUCAUGUCGCCUUCGGAGAAUCAAGAUAUUUUUAUUUCACUAUUUAAAUCUGUAGUAAAUUGCCUUCAUACUUUACUUAUCAUAAAUGUGUUAUCAAAUAUUAUCAAUGUAAUACAUAGCUAUACAUGUAAUGCGUAUUUAUGUAAAUAUCACAUUUGUCUUAUUUGCUUUAUCUUCUAAAUUGUUUGCCUUUUUAUAUUUUUUUUAUGCUUUUUCGUUUUAUCCUGAAAUGUUUGUUGUUUUUGUGCAAAACGUAGAACUGCGACACUGAACGCUUUUCGGCCGCAUACAUGAGUUUGUUUAAAGGUAUUUUUGACUUUAAAAAAUGAUAUUGGUUAGUAACAAUUUGUUUACCCAAUACUGGCAGUAUUGGGUGAGUGAAUUCUCACUAUUUGAGGGAUGAUAAAACUAAUUUUAGCCCUCCUUGUUACAAAGCACGUUUGUCAAAAAUACCUAUUACAACACUAUAUUAUGAUACUUUUUUCUCUUCUUGACACAGAUAUUCAGCAAAUCUCAAUACUUAAUUACACUUUGCUCACCUACAUCUUGUUUUCAUUUCAAAUGUGAGUGCACACGUCUUGUAUAAACACUCAAAUAUAGUGCCUUUGUGCUGUCUUACAGUUUUAAAAGUAAAUCGGUUUUAUCUUCCAUUUUUUAUAUUAAUCUUUUAGAUUAUUUAGUAUUAUCAGUAUUACUGUUAAAUUAAAAAUAAGAGUUAUCGUUUUAUGUAUAUAAAAUAGAGAUUUGUCGAAUAUUAUAUUGUGAUGAGAAGUGUACGCUUUGCCCUAGAACCCCAAUAUUUUGUGAGUUAAAUGAAUGUUUGAAGAGAAAACAAAUGUAGCUGUGAUACGCGAAUCACAUUUAAGUUCGUAACGAGUGCUGCUGCAUAAAUCCUGGCAGUCUCAAGACGAAGGGGAGUUCGGUGGGAGUAUUUUUCAAGAUAUUAGUGUGUAGAUGUAGAUUUUAGUAUUUUUGAGGUAUCCGUCAUCAUUUUUUAUACUAUAGUAGUGUGAUAUAUAAUCAUAUAAGUAUUAUUAAAAUGGAUUAAUAAUUGAGUAUUCCGUAUAAUGAAACUCUACAUAAGUUACACUGUAGUUAUACUUUAUGUAAAAAAGUAAAACUGCAUCCACUAAGUUUCUUAAGACAUUGUUGAUGCUAGUGCAAGUCUAACAGCCGCACUCAGGGUCAUUUAACCUCUCGUAUAUAAGUAUAUAAGACACAAUAAAAAAAAACACUGUGUCCCGUCGAUCUGGUUUCAUGGUUAAUGUUUAUACCAAGGGUUACUUAACCCACCCUUUAGUAAUUGUUUUGGAAACAAAACCGUUGCUAAAUAAUAGUACCGAUACGACUUUUGAAAGGCCGGUAACGCACCUGUGACUCAUUUGGUGUUGCGGGUGUCCACGGGCGGCGCUGAUCGCUUACCAUCAGGUGACUCGUUUGCUCGUUUGCCAAAUAUCCAUAAAAAAAAAUUUAAGUAAUCAUUAAAUGUCUCUGAGUACGGCAGGACGUAAGGUAUAAUAAGAUGUAGGAUUUGUUUAACAAACACACUGCCAAACGUUGCGCUUUAUUGUAAUUAGUAUUCAGAAGCUAUAUUAGUUGCAAAGCAGGAAUUAGAAGAGAUAGCAUAAGGUCGAUGUGUGUGUAAAAUGAAAUAAUAUUGUAUUUUACUCACAUACAUCCCAUAUUCGUUUUAAUUGGGGUACACUAACAUAUACUAUUGAUAUCCUAAUUGAAAGAUUUAGUUGAAAUAAAUAUUUAGUACUGCUGAUAUUACUAGAUGUUCGUACUUUGUAAGUUUGAAAUGUUCUAGUUAAUCUACAGCUACUUAAUUAUGACUAUAGUAUUUAUUGUAGCCAAAAUUUGACUGCGUGAAGUCUAGAUAAGUACUAGUCUUUGAUAAGGGCUGUAAAAGGGAAUGCACAGUGGUGGCUCCAGGGGCGGACUGGUUUAAGCCCCCCCCCCCUUAUGGCUACUGAUGUUGGACAUCGGGGUGAUUUUAAUGGGGUAAAACUCACAUACUUUCUAGUCUUUAUCCUCAAAAGCUAUCGAUAAAAAUAAUAACUGUUGUUGCUUUUAGACUUUAAAGUUAGUACUAGAGAUGACUUAACUAGUAGUUCUAAUUAGGUACUAUUCAUAGUGUAUUUAAUUAACAUAUCCCCUUUUUGUACGUUAGAAACAAAUAAGAAUUCAAUCUAUCAAUCUAGGUAUAUAACUGCUGAUAUCGCCAGUCGAAAUCGUGUUCUUAGUUUGUAAGUUUUAAAACUAUUGUAUAAGCGUUAUAUUCGUAAGUUAUAUCAAUGUAUUCGAUAUAAGGUACGCGUCCACAGGCCCGUAUCGCACGCACCGCAUGCAACGGAUUUUAGUUUGUCUUGUAUAGGAACUUAUACAACUGCGUCCACUGAUGCGCUUCGUGCGGACCGCAUCAUCAGCAAUGCCAACAUGUAAUGCGUACUGAUGACGUAAUACGAAAUGCGUACGAUGCGUGCGAUGCGGGCCUCUGGACGUUAACCUAUAAAAAUAUUAAUUUCUUUUUUGGAUUAGCAUCCAUUUUUUGUUAUUGAUUUGUGACGAGUUUCUAUCUGAAACUUACGUCUAUGUGGAUGAAGUCCAUCAAUCGUAUAUUAUAUUAGAUUAUACUGCUGAUAUCGCCAGUCGAAAUCGUGUUCUUAGAUCUUAAGUAUUUAGAGUUUUAGGGUUCGACAAAAGACUGAAGAAUAGAAUUCACAACGGUACAGUCAUCUAAACGACUAUGUUUAAGAUCUUUGAUUGAAAAAGGAGCAAUGACUUAUUAUUAUUAAUAUGUCGGUUUGGGAGGCUGUACGUUUGUUCUAUUCAGAACAUUUAUAUUUAGUUUAAAUCUUUUUGUGUUCGCGUGUAAUGAACACCGACUAUUGAGGUUCAAUAGUGUUUCGAAAACAUUGCAAACAUCUCUAAAGGUGCUUCUAAACGGGCAAUAUAUAAUAACAUAAGUAGUACACCAUACAACAUUACUGUAACAAAUUCAAUGAUAUUUCAGUUAUUAGGUAACAAAAUGUCAAGAAAUUAAAUCAAAUAUCAAUGUCAAUAAUCUAAAAUUAAAUUUAUUAGAAGAAUAUGCCCAAACCAUUUAACCAAAUAUGUUUAUUAUGACCAUACCAAUAUAGCUGCGCAAUAAUACGAUUCCAUUUGGUAAAAGUACUCAUGACGUUGUAUUUGAAGUUACUACAGGCCCAAAAAUCUAGUAAUUUUAAGUAUCAAAACUCCUAAAUGAAAAAGGUUUAGUCGCCAAUAACGCAACCACAUAUUGCAGAAAUAUAUUAUCAGUUUAGAAACACCUUAUAAUUGCUGAUAUCACCAGUAGAGAAAGCGUGUUCUUAGUUUAAGUACUAGGUAUAAGAUAUUAGGCUAAGAAAGAGUUUACUGUGCUGUGGGCCAAAAGACGUUAAAGCGUUAGUCGACCGAGAGAAUGAACAAUUGGAGUGACACUAAAAUAAUGUGUCAAAUUCUACUUCUAUGUCAUCUAUUUAGUUUUUUAUUCUUCAGUCUGUUAUCGCUAAUGUCCUGACUACAUGUAUCAUUUUACCCAAUAACUAGUCUAUACAAACCAGUUUGCGCAGUUAAGCACGUAAUAGGAACAUACUAAAUCUCAGUCUUUUUAUAUAGGUAGUCAUCGAUGCACACGCCAGCAAGCUUGCUCUUGAAAUUAAUCUCUAAUGUUAAUUUCAAACAUAUCUAAUAAAAUCUCAAUAGUUAUACAAUAUCAAAACAAUACAACUCAAUCUUGACUGUCAAAAUAACGUAUAAAGGACUGAUUGUAAAGCCAAAUUCAAUACCAUUUAGUUAUUACCAUAUGCAAUACGGAUGCAAUGUGGCGCUAGUGUUGCAACUCAAGAGUAUGAAAUGUUACAAUGUCAAUGUUGAUCAUAUGGAAUUGGAUUAAAGAGUAAGCGCCCGGGACAUGAAUAGGUAACAAAAUGUCAAGGAAUUAAAUCAUAUAUCCAAACAACAAAAUCAUAUAUUAGAAGAAUAUAUCCAAACCAUUUAACUUACGGCGCAUUCCAAUAACCUACCUAUCGGUAGAUUUGCCUACCAGAGGUAGAAUUUUGACACAUUUUGUAUGGAGCUUAUGUCAAAAUACUAUCUCUAGUAAGCAAAUCUACCGAUAGGUAGGUUAUUGGAAUGCGCCGUUAAUAUGUUUAGUAUGACCAUGUACCGAUAUAGCUGCACAAUUAGACUCGAUUUCAAUGUGCAUGUAGCUGGGCUAUUAAAUGCCAUUUGAUCCACAGCACAGGUAUGAAAUAGACAUGUACGGGUUAUGUCUAUUUCAUAUUAUAUUAAUUUUUAACAUCACCUUAUUUUGAUCAGCGUUUAUGCCAUUUGUCUAGGGGGUGUGUCAAGAUAUUUCUAAUCUGUUUUUAUUCAUUCAAUGAUUGUAAGAUCAGCUACAGCACUAUAUGUUUUAGUGUUGUGUGUGUCACAAAUCACACCAUCCGAUAUCCACUGUUCUAUUGCCAUAAGGAACAAUUAAUUUGUGAUCUGCAAAUUGUUGUUACAUGUUUGUAAACGUACCUACAUACGACGCGAGCGAAUAGUAAUAAAGGCUCUUAAUUGUUGUUUUGAAACAGAUUGAAGUAUUUUGAUCUAUUAUAGACUUAACAUUUGGCAUGAGCACUGAGCAGGUAUUGUGAAGACUAUCUAUCUCUAUUUUAAGUAAUCAGUGCUGUAAGCUAAAUGGUGACUAAGUAAUAGUCGAUACAGAGAGUAGUGGCUCACAGAAAACCGGCGUGAAACAACGCAUGCGUCGUAUCUUCGCCGUGCGACUGAGUUUACUGGAAGCCUAAUUCUCCCCCUUAGACCACUUAUACCUAGUCUCUUCGCUGACUAACGCUCAAGUACCAUUUGGCUUAAAGCGCAGUUUGCUUAAAAACUAUAGGAUUAAGCUAAAGUACAUUAGAUGCGAAUUGAAAUGUUUGCCUCUACACGAAUUAUGUUCGUGUAGAAGCCAGCACUUUGAUUUUUGUCUUGAUCACGGGGCAGUAAAGUUGAAUCUAUCAAAGACUACUUUUCAUCAAGAAAGUAGUCUUAAAUCAAUAUUAUUGCAUUUGAUUAUUCGCGUUUGUUUUAAAGUUCAAUAUUUAAUUUUAAUCUCGACUUUACGUAUACUAAUAGUAUAGUGAAAAUUUAAUAGUUUCGGUUAUUUGUCUGCAUCCAAUUGUCUCAGGUAAAAUUAUAUGGAUUUAUUAUAAAUGAUAUUUAUUUCUGCUAGUACAUAGGUUACAAAAUAACUCUUUAACACGUCAAUCUUUGAAAUAACUAGAUGAGGCCGAUAGAUCUUUCAAAUUGUACAUUGUGUCUGGAUAAUAAUUUAAAACAAAAGCGAAUAAUUCAAGUGAAAGUAGGUUUAAGUAAUUUUAGCUUAAGAUAUUACUAUUAAGAGAAAUUAUCACUUUGUAUUAGUGUCAAUAGAAUAAGGAAAUAAUGUAUGUGUAUAGAGAACAACUGUAUAAACAAUAGACACCUGAAAGAUUCAAGUUAUAUUCAUAAAUGAAAUCAAAAUAUAUUGAUUACUGCUGAUAUCACCAGUGGAAUGCGUGUUCGUAGUUUGUACUAGGGCAGUUGAAAAGUCUUCAGCCUAAGAUUUUAAAGUAAUUAUCCUAUAUACAUACUUUUGUCUUUCAUCGCACUACUAUCGGCCUGGUUCAGUAAAUAACCUAUCUAUCUGCAGGAUUACGUAUAUCUGAUUGAAUUUCGACUAUAAACUCCAUACAAAAUGCGUCAAAUCUCAGGUUAUUGCGACUGGCCGAUAGUAAUUGAACUGCAUUAUCAUCAUCAGUCUAUUUUCUUCCACCGAAGGACAUAGAUCUCUCUAAUAGGAUACCACUGAGCACAAUCUUCAGCACUUCUCAUCCAUCCACUGUCAGCCACGCUGUGGAUAUCGUCACUCCACCUAGUUGGAGGGCCUUACACUAUGUUGGCCUAGACGCGAUCCUCAAUUGAAUUGAACUUAAAUAUCACUGUAUCUAAGUCGUCUUUUUAAUAUCUUAGGCUCAAAACUUUUCAAUUACCCUAGUAAAUGUAGGAUAUAAAAAUAAAUUAUAUAUUUCAUCAACCAUUACAUACAUAAUUUAAGAAAUUUUAUAUAAGACUAUAUAGUCGACAAUAUUGUCGAGUAAGUCUUACUGCCGUAUUCUGAGAUAUUUGAUGAUUACUUAAACUAUUCCUUAGUAAAGAUUUUGUUCCGAUAACUAUUGCUAAGGACUGUAAGUAAUUAUUAAAUGACUCUGAGUACGGCGGUAAGUAGGAAUAUGUGGAUUUGUACACGCUUACACGGUUAUACCUUAUGAAAUUAUGAUUUUUUGACCUUGAUAAAUGGUAGUUUUUCUGUUUUUUGUUCUUAAUUUCUAACUACGUACUAGGUGUAAGGCAUAUAAUGUAACAGUAUAGAAUUAGUGAAACCGCUUAGUAAAUAGUUUCAUUACAUAUUAUAUCAUCAUUGUAAUACCUUUCAUAUAAAAUAUGUAUUUGCAAGUGUCGACAAGUAGAUAUGUACUUAUAGAAAUGUCCCUAGGCACAUAUUUAAUAGUGAUCUUCCCUAUGUGAUUUUUAUAAUAAUCUUGAGUACAUUGUACCGAUAUGAUACGGCAUAGUCUUGUAUUGCUGAAAUGAUAUUAAUAUUUUGUAGUAGGCUGCAUAAUAGCACUUUUAACGCAGAUAUUUUCCUGUUUAUAGACUUGAGGAAAAAUUUAUGUGAUAUGAAAACUAACAUAACAAAAAAAUGGUAUCAGAGAGGCAUCUUGGCGUUGCAUAAGUGACCAGACGUUUAACUAUUGUUAAUAGUGACGUGCCAACACCGUACCGUGGGUUCGGUUUUUAACGAUUUUAAAAAAUCAAUAUCUAGCCCUAAUUAUCCUGUAGGUGCUUUUUAAAACGUAAUAGUAUUUAGGUAAAGAAAAACUAGUGAAACGAUGUUUUUAAUUGUAAUAAUGAGUAUUCUAGGAUUCGUAAUUAUUUUAAUCGCUGAUGUUAAGAGGGGGGUGUUUUAGAUACAAGAGUAUUCACUUAUUGUACCAAAUACUUUUAAACCAAAAAGCGAGGGAAAACGCGCAGUAAAUUGCUAGUCAUGAAUGUAAGCUGGAAUUAUUAUUUAAAAACAUUUAUCUGUGUUAUUGUAUUUAUUUACUGCUAUGCUUGAGACAUUUAUUAAUGAUUACUCAAACUAUUCCUUAGUAACGAUUUUGUCCCGAAAAUAAUUGCUAAGGACCUGUAUUUAGUAAUUAUUUCACUUAACCCUGGUUAAGUAACCAAUAAAUGACUCUAAGUAUAGCGUGGAAGUCAAUAGUUUGUAAGUUCUAAGCCAUGGUUUGUUGUAUUUCUAUAAAAAAUCUCUUUUGUCGUUUAUUACUGUGUUGGAUUGAGAUUUUAUUAUAUUAUGUAACUGCUGAUAUAACCGUA